UCCAAAACAUACUCAAGUUUGAAUUUCAAACCUUCAUUUCCCUUAAAAAACAAUAUGAUAGGCACUUAUUACCUUAAUCUAUUUAUUUAAUUACUUUAUUUAUUAUUAUCAUUUUAUUUGGGUAAUGAAACACACACACCAUAUUCAUUACAAAAAUAUUAUUUUGAGCGUAUUAAAUAAUUUUAAGAGCUAUAACCCAAAAGGUCAUUUUCC
rnacentral:lncRNA from 7 species